rnacentral:lncRNA from 1 species
ACAGAACCGAUGGCAUUCGAAUAUGGAACAUUUUUCAUAUAUUCCUCUUCCUCUUUAUUAGCAAGUGAUUGUUCCUUAGAUAACACAAAGUGAUUGCCCAAAGGCUAAGAAACAGGUUUACAUUCAAUCAUGCCAAACUUUUUCAAAAUUUUCAUAAUGUAUGGAGCCUGAUGCAAAAGCAACAAUGAAUUUGACCUAUCUCUUUUAAUCUCCAUGCCUAAGAUCCUUUUAGCAUUACCUAGGUCUUUCAUAUCAAAUUCAUUACUCAAAGUAGUUUUUAUACUGUUUAACAACUUUAAGUUGGGACCAAUCAAAAGCAUAUCAUCCACGUAUAGAAACAGAAACACAUAGUUAUUAUUCAUACUGCCUUGAUAGUACAAGCAAUGAUCAAAUUCACUCCUUUUAAAACCAAUUGUUUGAACAAACGAAUCAAAACGUUUGUACCACUGUCUAGGAGAUUGUUUUAAACCAUAUAGAGAGCGUUUUAGAAAACACACAUGAUUAGGUUUUUGUUUGUUUUCAAAACCCUUAGGUUGAUCCAUAAAAAUCUUUUCAUCAAGUUCACCAUGCAGAAAAGCAGUUUUAACAUCAAGUUGUUCAAGUUCCCAAUUAAAAUGCGCAACUAAUGCAAGCAUAGUCCUAAUUGUGGUAUACUUAACAACUGGAGAAAAGAUC